rnacentral:rRNA from 1 species
GUGCCAGCAGCCGCGGUAAUACCCGCAGCACAAGUGGUGGUCAUUAUUAUUGGGCCUAAAGCGUCCGUAGCUGGCUUGUUAGAUGCCUGGGUAAAUCGAUGCGCUCAACGCAUCGAACUCCGGGUAGACCGGCAAGCUUGGGACCGGGAGAGGCGUGAGCUACUCGAGGGGUAGGGGUAAAAUCCUGUAAUCCUUCGGGGAGGACCAGUGGCGAAGGCGUCACGCUAGAACGGCUCCGACAGUGAGGGACGAAGCCCUGGGGCGCAAACCGGAUUAGAUACCCCCGUAGUCC